rnacentral:lncRNA from 1 species
UCACAUCCGGCAACCUUCGAAUCUCUGGUAGUAUCUUUGGGCUAUUCCGCAACCCUUAGUGUCACCGUUCAUACCAUCAGUUCUCUUUCUUUACGGAUCGAGUUCAUAUCAACCUUACCGAAAGAGUGAUCCUUAUUUUGGUUCUAUCAAGUGGUAUCAGAGCCACUCUUCCGGUAACUCUAUUAUCAUUCCAUCUUCUCAUCUCUCCAUCUUCUUCAAACACUUCUUCUUCUACCUUUCUUAAAUCCGGGCCCUCAUUACCAUCCAUAUAAAAAAAAAAAAGAUUUACGAUUUGAUUCAAAAAAAAAAAAAAAAAAAAAUAGAAAAAGUUCAAAGUUUGUUUUGUGGAUUGGUGGUGGAAGAGAAAGCCUGCUGGCUGAGGAGAAAUCCAGCCUUUGAGGUGGUUAAAACGGAUUUCAAAAAUCAAAAUCUCUUAUCUUUCUAUCUUGAGAAAAUUCCCUUGUUUGCUUGGAUUUGCCCAUUGGGAUUCUUUGAUUUGUUCUCUUAGAACAUUGAGUAGAAACUUGUGUGCGAUCACCUAAAUCUGAGAGAAACACUUGAGUGGGUGUGAAUAAAACACUUGAGAGAGUGAGGCUUUAUUUCCUAACUUUUGUGUUGAGAUUUUCAGGUUAUGAUGUUUGGUCUUCAAAGGAAAAGUAACAAGGAGAAGCACCCACGACUUUCUGU